rfam:Burkholderia sp. TSV85 TSV85_39, whole genome shotgun sequence.
UCUUCGCACUCUGGAGAGCGGCAGUAGCCAGGCGCGCGCAUCGCGCGGCGCCGACAGGCUGCCCACCGAAGGGGCGCGCGCAAGCCGAAGCGAUUUCGCUGCGCAAUCUCUCAGGUAUCGAGGACAGAGGGGCAUUC